GCUUGUCUCAAAGAUUAAGCCAUGCAUGUCUAAGUGUAAAUAAGUCUAUACUGUGAAACUGCGAAUGGCUCAUUAAAUCAGUUAUCGUUUAUUUGAUGAUCUCUUACUACUUGGAUAACCGUAGUAAUUCUAGAGCUAAUACAUGCUAUCAAGCCCGACUUCUUGAAGGGUUGUAUUUAUUAGACUUAAGCCAAUAUUCCUUGUGUCUAUUGCGAUGAUUCAUAAUAACUGAUCGAAUCUCAAAUUUGAGAUAAAUCAUUCAAGUUUCUGCCCUAUCAGCUUUCGAUGGUAGUGUAUUGGACUACCAUGGCAGUAACGGGUAACGAAGAAUUAGGGUUCGAUUUCGGAGAGGGAGCAUGAGAAACGGCUACCACAUCCAAGGAAGGCAGCAGG
rnacentral:rRNA from 1 species